GAUCCUGGCUCAGGACGAACGCUGGCGGCGCGCUUAACACAUGCAAGUCGAGCGAUGAAAUCUUAACAGAACCCUUCGGGGCGAAGAUAAGAGGGAUUAGCGGCGGACGGGUGAGUAACACGUGAGUAACCUGCCUUUUACACAGGGAUAGCCUCGGGAAACCGGGAUUAAAACCUGAUGAAACUAUCAAAUCACAUGAUUAAGAAAGUUAAAACUCCGGUGGUAAAAGAUGGACUCGCGUCCCAUUAGCUAGUUGGUGAAGG
rnacentral:rRNA from 1 species